UACGGAGGGUGCAAGCGUUAUCCGGAUUCACUGGGUUUAAAGGGUGCGUAGGAGGGCAGGUAAGUCAGUGGUGAGAUCUCCAAGCUUAACUUGGAAACUGCCGUUGAUACUAUCUGUCUUGAAUACCGUGGAGGUGAGCGGAAUAUGUCAUGUAGCGGUGAAAUGCUUAGAUAUGACAUAGAACACCAAUUGCGAAGGCAGCUCGCUACACGAAUAUUGACUCUGAGGCACGAAAGCGUGGGGAUCAAACAGG
rnacentral:rRNA from 1 species